UUUUUUUUUUUUUUUUUUUUUUAUCUCUCAGAUUGAACGCUGGCGGCAGGCUUAACACAUGCAAGUCGAGCGGUAACAGGAGAAGCUUGCUUCUCGCUGACGAGCGGCGGACGGGUGAGUAAUACUUAGGAAUCUGCCCAGUAGUGGGGGAUAGCUCGGGGAAACUCGAAUUAAUACCGCAUACACCCUACGGGGAAAAGGGGGCGCUUGCGCUCUCGCUAUUGGAUGAGCCUAAGUCGGAUUAGCUAGUUGGUGGGGUAAAGGCCUACCAAGGCGACGAUCUGUAGCUGGUCUGAGAGGAUGAUCAGCCACACCGGGACUGAGACACGGCCCGGACUCCUACGGGAGGCAGCAGUGGGGAAUAUUGGACAAUGGGGGCAACCCUGAUCCAGCCAUGCCGCGUGUGUGAAGAAGGCCUUUUGGUUGUAAAGCACUUUAAGCAGUGAAGAAGACUCUAUGGUUAAUACCCAUAGACGAUGACAUUAGCUGCAGAAUAAGCACCGGCUAACUCUGUGCCAGCAGCCGCGGUAAUACAGAGGGUGCAAGCGUUAAUCGGAAUUACUGGGCGUAAAGCGAGCGUAGGUGGCUUGAUAAGUCAGAUGUGAAAUCCCCGGGCUUAACCUGGGAACUGCAUCUGAUACUGUUAGGCUAGAGUAGGUGAGAGGGAGGUAGAAUUUCAGGUGUAGCGGUGAAAUGCGUAGAGAUCUGAAGGAAUACCGAUGGCGAAGGCAGCCUCCUGGCAUCAUACUGACACUGAGGUUCGAAAGCGUGGGUAGCAAACAGGAUUAGAUACCCUGGUAGUCCACGCCGUAAACGAUGUCUACUAGUCGUUGGGGAACUUGAUUCCUUAGUGACGCAGCUAACGCAAUAAGUAGACCGCCUGGGGAGUACGGCCGCAAGGUUAAAACUCAAAUGAAUUGACGGGGGCCCGCACAAGCGGUGGAGCAUGUGGUUUAAUUCGAUGCAACGCGAAGAACCUUACCUGGUCUUGACAUAUCUAGAAUCCUGCAGAGAUGCGGGAGUGCCUUCGGGAAUUAGAAUACAGGUGCUGCAUGGCUGUCGUCAGCUCGUGUCGUGAGAUGUUGGGUUAAGUCCCGCAACGAGCGCAACCCUUUUCCUUAGUUACCAGCGGUUUGGCCGGGGACUCUAAGGAUACUGCCAGUGACAAACUGGAGGAAGGCGGGGACGACGUCAAGUCAUCAUGGCCCUUACGACCAGGGCUACACACGUGCUACAAUGGUAGGUACAGAGGGCAGCUACACAGCGAUGUGAUGCGAAUCUCAAAAAGCCUAUCGUAGUCCAGAUUGGAGUCUGCAACUCGACUCCAUGAAGUCGGAAUCGCUAGUAAUCGCGGAUCAGAAUGCCGCGGUGAAUACGUUCCCGGGCCUUGUACACACCGCCCGUCACACCAUGGGAGUUGAUUGCACCAGAAGUGGGUAGCCUAACUUUUAGAGGGCGCUCACCACGGUGUGGUCGAUGACUGGGGUGAGUAGGAAAAAACCGCCCACCCAAAAAAAAAAAAAAAAAAA
rnacentral:rRNA from 1 species